rnacentral:rRNA from 1 species
GAAUUUCGGGAUCAAUAUUUCGGUCAUGCCGUUGGUAUGCACUGUUAUCAUUGAUUUCUCACCUUCUAAAGAACCGUAAUGCCAUUAAUUUGGUNUUACGGGGAAUUAGGACUGUUACCUUGAAAAAUUAGAGUGUUUAAAGCAGGCUCACGCUUGAAUACAUUAGCAUGGAAUAAUGAAAUAGGACAUCCGAUUCUAUUUUGUUAGGUUUCUAGGAUCGAUGUAAUGAUUAAUAGGGAUAGUUGGGGGCAUUAGUAUUCAAUUGUCAGAGGUGAAAUUCUUGGAUUUAUUGAAGACUAACUACUGCGAAAGCAUUUGCCAAGGAUGUUUUCAUUAAUCAAGAACGAAAGUUAGGGGAUCGAAGACGAUCAGAUACCGUCGUAGUCUUAACCAUAACCUAUGCCGACUAGGGAUCGGAUGAUGUUAAUUUUUUAAUGACUCAUUCGGCGCCUUACG